rnacentral:rRNA from 1 species
CGAAAGCCUGUCUCAGUUCGGAUUGGAGUCUGCAACCCGACUCCAUGAAGCUGGAUUCGCUAGUAAUCGCGCAUCAGCCACGGCGCGGUGAAUACGUUCCCGGGCCUUGUACACACCGCCCGUCAAGCCAUGGAAGCCGGGGGUGCCUGAAGUGCGCUGCCGCAAGGAGCGCCCUAGGGUAAAACCGGUGACUGGGGCUAAGUCGUAACAAGGUAAC